GCGCUGCACACUUCAACCCUCGUUGCCCUCCCUAGUCUAGCAACAUCACCUGCUCCCUUCAACUCCCGUCUCGGUCUUUGUGGCCCUCAGAUCUAGCAGCCCUCGGCCACGACGUUGUCAGAUCUGGUCAGCUUGGCCUCGUUGCCCCAACCAAUAGGUGCUCGACACCGCUCCUCAGGACCGCGACGGUCUUCUUCGUCAGCUCUAUAUUCCUCCACCUCCUACGCCAUGUAUCGGCCUUCUGCCCUUUCUUGAAGCUCCUCCUCAUCCAAGUGGCCACCUGAUGUUGCCUGGUGGGCCACGCUCACUCGCGCCUUUGCCUGCCAGUACUAGGAUUUCUCUCGUGUCUUUCAAGUUGAAUACCGGGGAGAUGGAGGAGAUGGUGCCAUGGCGGGCUACUAUGGUGGUGGCAGUUGGGCCUAUCUGAAGAGCAAUAAUGUAAUGCUUUUGAGCCUAGGCACAUGAAGUCCUAUUUGAAAGGGGGCGAGAUGAUGUUUGUCAACACGAAACUGAAAAGGAAUGUGAAACAGCACUAGAAGAGUCGUGAUCUAUGGCAAGGGUGAUGAUGUCUAUGGCGAUGAUUGUCAUGAUCUAUAUGGCGAUGAGCGUUAUGAUCCAUAUGGUGAUGAAGGGUGAUGAGUCUAAUGAUCUUUCUUCAGGACAUGCAACAAAGUGAACUUCUAAAGUUUUGGUCAAUUUUAGUUUAGGCAUAAUGCUUCGAGCAUUAUAUAUUAGUUACUAUUCUGUUUUGCAUUUCAAACUUCCUAGAUAGAUCAUGAUGACAAAUGUA